GUUCGACUAAGCCAUGCGAGUCGAAUGUAGCAAUACAUGGCGUACUGCUCAGUAACACGUGGAUAACCUACCCUUGAGACGGGGAUAAACCCGGGAAACUGGGUAUAAUACCCGAUAGAUCUCGGACGCUGGAAUGCAUCGAGAUCGAAAGCUCCGGCGCUCAAGGAUGGAUCUGCGGCCUAUCAGGUAGUAGUGGGUGUAGCGUACCUACUAGCCUACGACGGGUACGGGUUGUGAGAGCAAGAGCCCGGAGAUGGAUUCUGAGACACGAAUCCAGGCCCUACGGGGUGCAGCAGGCGCGAAAACUUUACAAUGCUGGAAACAGCGAUAAGGGGACCUCGAGUGCCAGGUUACAAAUCUGGCUGUCGUGAUGCCUAAAACGCAUUGCAUAGCAAGGGCCGGGCAAGACCGGUGCCAGCCGCCGCGGUAACACCGGCGGCUCGAGUGGUAACCGUUAUUAUUGGGUCUAAAGGGUCUGUAGCCGGCCGGAUAAGUCUCUUGGGAAAUCUGGCAGCUUAACUGUCAGGCUUUCAGGAGAUACUGUCUGGCUCGAGGCCGGGAGAGGUGAGAGGUACUUCAGGGGUAGGGGUGAAAUCUUGUAAUCCUUGAAGGACCACCAGUGGCGAAGGCGUCUCACCAGAACGGACCUGACGGCAAGGGACGAAAGCUAGGGGCACGAACCGGAUUAGAUACCCGGGUAGUCCUAGCCGUAAACGAUACUCGCUAGGUGUCGGCCACGGUGCGACCGUUGUCGGUGCCGUAGGGAAGCCGUGAAGCGAGCCACCUGGGAAGUACGGCCGCAAGGCUGAAACUUAAAGGAAUUGGCGGGGGAGCACCACAACGGGUGGAGC
rnacentral:rRNA from 1 species